GGGUAAAGGCCCACCAAGGCGACGAUCGGUAGCCGGACUGAGAGGUUGAACGGCCACAUUGGGACUGAGACACGGCCCAGACUCCUACGGGAGGCAGCAGUGGGGGAUAUUGCACAAUGGGGGAAACCCUGAUGCAGCAACGCCGCGUGAGUGACGAAGGUCUUCGGAUUGUAAAACUCUGUUCUUGGUGAAGAUAAUGACGGUAGCCAAGGAGAAAGCUCCGGCUAACUAC
rnacentral:rRNA from 1 species